CAGAUACCCUUGCAGAUGUAUUUAUCUGGCUGAUGGCACUCGUUGGUAUCUGUAAAUAGCACACAGGGAAGGAAUGAUGAAACGAAAAAGCAAAUCAUUCAAUUUUGUAUACUGUGGCACCGUUACAUGCUUGAAUGUGGCUGAAGAUUAUCCAUUUGAAGAGAAAGCUACUGUACGGCGAAUCCUUCCCUUGCUUCAGCGUCACACAUUGGUUCAGACCUUUGGACCAAAGAACCAUGUCCGUUUAAAGGCCAGCUCCAUCGUAAUUUCACCAUAUGCGCCUACACAGAAAAUGCAAAUUCCAUCUUCAUGUACUUCCGUGGUCUCUUCUACGACACCAGCAAUGGUUUGGCAGCACAGCACAUGGGGGCAAUGGACCAUCUGAAUACUCUAUGCUACUAUCAUUAUUUGUACUCUGAUUUGGCCCAUCUGACUUGAUUAUUUCAGUCUGCACAUGUUCUUUGGCACUUUGUUUUCAGACAAGAUUUGCUUUCUUUUCUGAAAAACUGUCAGACUACUCUUCAUAUAUGCUCGUAACUACUCCCUCCAUCCCACAAUAUAAAUGUCUUAUAUUAUGAGACGGAGGGAGUAGCUGGCUACUUGAAAGUAACUACCUGCCAUUCCAUACCAUAUUUCCUUGACUGAAAUCUCAUUGGUUAUUUUAUGUUUUAAGCACCAUCUUUUAUCGUUCCGUAACAAGUGCUUCCAAUGUUAUUUCAGGAAAAAGAAAGCAAUUGUAUGAAGAUUAGGGCAUGCACGGGUGUUUUUGUUGUUGUCUCUGUCUUCUCUCUUGCAUAAGCAAAAAUAAAUGAAAAUUCAGUGAAAUUUUUCCCGAUAACAAUUGGAGCUGGGGCGGAUGGUUCUGGUGCCAUGCUGUUGGAGUGGGGUACAGAGACGCUAUGUCCCUCUUUAACAGAUAAUGGAUAGAGAGGUGAAACAAAAAUGGAAAUCAUUUGGCUCUCAAUUAGUUAUAGCCUGACAACAUGCUUGAAUGUGGUUUGGGAGUAUGUAUUUGAACAUGGUUGUUCAGGACUUCGGACAGAAGAUCAUAUCUGCUUGAAGGGCGGCUCCGUUGCAAUUUCGCCAUAUGCGCCUCCACAGAAAAUGCAAAAACCAUCUUCAUAUACUUACAUGGUUUCCUUCUAGAUCCCAAGGGUGGAUUACUGUGCAAGAGGUGCUUGUGCAUCUGCUGGGGAGAAGUUCAAGAACAACCUGCUCUUUGACAUCUCAACCGAUUGCCCACCCAGAGCUGUGGUUUUCUGUUAAAUCUUGAAGUUGUAACAGAUGAUGAUGAUCCGACUCCUGAAGCUGUUUGGUGUGUUUGGUUUGCAUCUGUUUGGUGUGUUUGUUUCCGAGGAGGAUGCUCCGACUCCUGAAGCUGGACAGUAUCCUGAAAAGAUGUUAUAGAGGAAGCAACCGACUUGUCGGAAACCCUUCGUAAUGAAGCUAUGGUGUUCGAGUGAUGGUACACGUAUACGAUAAAAUUUGAACCAUUCUUGUUUUCAAUCUGUACGUUCCAUGUUAGUGUCGUGUCAGCAUUGUGGAGGAAAGUAUUGUAUGCACAUCAUUUUCGAUGGUGUUCCUUUUUUGUGCUCAAGCUGGAGAUGCAUUUCAUCAGAUACUCGCAAGCUCCCAUAUGGCAAAACUGUGUGU